UGGAAGUGAGUGUGUCCUCCCCUGAGAUCCUCACCUUAUCAGUAAGAAUCUGUUUUACAUUACCUCUCUUGUGUCCCUAUUAUUUCUUGUCUUGAAUUAUAAUGAUCUAUGUUUCGGUUUCAUCUCCUUCGUGAGAUUGUAAAACCAUUACCUCUGAGCGCCGUCUUUCUAUCAUACGCCCCUAAUCAUAGCACACUGUGCCACUGCUAGGUCAGCACUGUUUCACCAACUGGACAUGCGCUUUCAAAGGACAUAUUGAGAGCCUGGUUCGGAUGUGAGGGGAAGAAGGAGAGAGAUUAGCAAAGAGGAUUCUUAGGUUUUGAAACUAGGAGACCAGAAGACAGAUGGUCAUCACUGACAAGAGGGAGAGAAUUGGGAGUGAUGGUUUAUGGAGUGAAGACAAUGAGUUUCUUUUUGCCUUGGCUGAGUUUGGGAAGACUUUGAUGCUAAGCGGGGAACUGGAUUUCCGACACUGCCUUGGAAGACUGCAGGCAAGGGGACCAGCUCCCAGGCAGACAGAGUUCCUGGUACCCAGCCAGACAGUUUACCUGCAAAUCCAGGUGAAGCCAAGCUAAUCCCUCAACGUCUCCCAGUCUGCUCUCCCUGACUCUUCCGACAGAGACGAUGAGGAUGGUUUUACAUGACAUGGGAGCCUUCAAAAGGAAUGAAGACAUGAAGAGAAACGUGAGUAUUUUAUGCUAAGUUUGGGGAAGAAUGGACAGUUGUGGAGGAAUUUGAAAGGUCAAGGAGUGUGAG
rnacentral:lncRNA from 1 species